CUCCACCUCCUGGGUUCAAGUGAUUCUUCUGCCUCAGCCUCCUGAGUAGCUGGGACUACAGGCAUGUGCUACCGCGCCCAGCUAAUUUUUUUUUUUUUUUUUUGUAUUUUUAGUAGAGACGAGAUUUCACCAUAUUGGCCAGGCUGGUCUCAAAACUCCUGACAUGACGAUCCACCUGCCUUGGCGGAUCGGUGGCCUGGCCACCGCGC
rnacentral:lncRNA from 10 species